rnacentral:rRNA from 1 species
UACGUAGGGUGCAAGCGUUGUCCGGAAUUAUUGGGCGUAAAGAGCUCGUAGGCGGUUUUGUCGCGUCUGCUGUGAAAACUCAGGGCUUAACCCUGAGCCUGCAGUGGGUACGGGCAGACUAGAGUGUGGUAGGGGAGAUCGGAAUUCCUGGUGUAGCGGUGGAAUGCGCAGAUAUCAGGAGGAACACCGGUGGCGAAGGCGGGU